rnacentral:rRNA from 1 species
CCUACGGGAGGCAGCAGUGAGGAAUAUUGGUCAAUGGGCGCAAGCCUGACCCAGCAACGCCGCGUGCAGGAAGAAGGCUUUCUGGUUGUAAACCUCUUUUUUUGAGGACUAAACAAAUGUUGCGUCUCGAUGAUUAAGCCACAGCUAACUACGUGCCAGCAGCCGCGGUAAUACGUAGGUGGCAGGCGUUAUGCGGAUUUAUUGGGUGUAAAGGUAUUGUGGGCGGGACUGCAAGUGAGAUGUGUAACCCUUGGGCUCAACCCAUGUCCUGCCUGUGACACUGGAGUGUGUGAGUGAGGGAGAGGCAAGCGGAAUUCGGGGUGUAGCGGUGAAAUGCGUAGAUAUAAGGAGGAACACCAGUGGCGAAGGCAGCCUGCUGGACAUUAACUGACGCUGAGGCGCGAAAGCGUGGGGAGCAAACAGGAUUAGAUACCCGAGUAGUC